UAACACGUAGAUAAUCUAUCCUAUACUGGGGGAUAGCCCGAUGAAAGUUGGAUUAAUACCGCAUAUAGCUAUAUAGUUGCAUGAUUAUGUAGUGAAAGAUUUAUUGGUAUAGGAGGAGUCUGCGGCACAUUAGCUAGUAGGUGAGGUAAAGGCUUACCUAGGCGACGAUGUGUAGCCGGUCUGAGAGGAUGAACGGCCACAAUGGAACUGAGACACGGUCCAUACUCCUACGGGAGGCGGCAGUGGGGAAUAUUGCACAAUGGGGGAAACCCUGAUGCAGCAACGCCGCGUGAGUGAAGAAGGUUUUCGGAUUGUAAAGCUCUGUUAGCAGGGAAGAGGAAGGACGGUACCUGCAGAGGAAGCCACGGCUAACUACGUGCCAGCAGCCGCGGUAAUACGUAGGUGGCAAGCGUUGUUCGGAAUAACUGGGCGUAAAGGAUGCGUAGGCGGUUAAACAAGUUAUAUGUUAAAUAUAUAGGCUUAACCUGUAGAAAGCAUAUAAAACUGUUUAACUAGAGUGCAGGAGAGGUAAGUGGAAUUCCUAGUGUAGCGGUGAAAUGCGUAGAGAUUAGGAAGAACACCAGUGGCGAAGGCGACUUACUGGACUGUAACUGACGCU
rnacentral:rRNA from 1 species